GGCGGGAGGCUGAGGCUGUGGCCGCCAUGGCGCUGCGUGCGGUCGUGUUCGACCUGGACGGGGUCCUGGCGCGGCCGUCGAUCGCCGGCGCCCUGGGCCGCACCGAGGAGGAGUUGGCAUUGCCCAGAGGCUUUCUCAGUGAAGCUUUCAAGGAAGGAGAUCCGGAUAGUCCCAGCGUCCGUCUCACAAAGGGAGAGAUCACAUUUUCCCAGUGGGUGUCACUCGUGGAAGAAGACUAUAGGAAACAUGCUGAAGACUCUGGAAUCUGCCUCCCUGAGAAUUUCUCUGUAAAUCAAAUCUUUGGCAAGGUGAUUUCAGCGAGGAAGAUCAACCACCCCAUGCUUCAGGCAGCUCUCGCUCUUAGAAAGAAGGGCUUUAUAACCUGCAUCCUCACCAACAACUGGCUGGAUGACAGCACCCAGAGAAGCAGCAUUGCCCAGCUGAUGUAUGAGCUGAGACCGCACUUUGACUUCCUGAUAGAGUCAUGUCAGAUCGGAAUGGCCAAGCCUGAUCCUCAGAUCUACAAGUUUGUGCUGGAAACCUUGAAGGCCAGCCCCAAUGAGAUUGUUUUCUUGGAUGAUAUUGGAGCUAAUCUGAAGCCAGCCCGAGACUUAGGAAUGGUCACCAUCCUUGUCCGUGACAGCGACAAGGCCCUGCAAGAGCUGGAGAAAGUCACCAGGAUGCAGCUUCUCAAAACAGCAGCCCCUGUCCUGAACCCAUGCCAUCCAAGUGACAUGAGCCAUGGAUAUGUACCAAUAAAGCCAGGGGUGCAUCUGCAUUUUGUGGAGCUGGGCUCUGGCCCUGCCGUGUGCCUUUGCCAUGGAUUUCCUGAGAGCUGGUUCUCUUGGAGGUACCAGAUCCCUGCUCUGGCCCAGGCAGGUUUCCGGGUACUAGCUGUGGAUAUGAAAGGCUAUGGAGACUCGUCCGCUCCUGCUGAAAUAGAAGAAUAUUCCAUGGAAGUGUUAUGCAAGGACAUGGUAACCUUCCUGGAUAAGUUGGGCAUCCCUCAAGCGGUGUUCAUUGGCCAUGACUGGGGUGGCAUGCUGGUGUGGAACAUGGCUCUCUUCUACCCUGAGAGAGUGAGGGCAGUGGCAAGUUUGAAUACUCCCUUCAUGCCAUCUAACCCCAACGUGACCCUAAUGGAGAUCAUCAAAGCCAAUCCUGUUUUUGAUUACCAGCUCUAUUUCCAAGAACCGGGAGUGGCUGAGGCCGAACUGGAAGAGGACCUGAAUCGGACUUUCAAAACCUUUUUCAGAGCAAGUGAUGAGAGUUUGUUAAGCACGAAGAAAACCUGUGAAAGGGGAGGACUCUUGGUGAAAACCCCAAAAGAGCCCAGCCUCAGCAGGAUCAUGACUGAGGAGGACAUCCAGUUCUAUGUGCAGCAGUUCAAGAAGUCUGGUUUCAGGGGUCCCCUAAACUGGUAUCGAAACAUAGACAGGAACUGGAAGUGGGGCUGCAAAGGCACAGGACGGAAGGUGAGUGCUGGUCAGUGUUGCUCUCCUCCAUGAACCCCCACUACCCCAUCCCCACCCCAGGGCUUCCCAUUGACCAAUUGAUAGGCCCUUGGUUCAGAGCUGGGGUGGACUGACUGACCUGCUGGCUUCCUCCUUUCUGUCCUUCCCCUCUGGGCUUUUGGAAGUGCCUCCACUCAAGGGUUUCCCCUUAAGACCUCUUUUGCUGAUGCUGCUUUGGAAUCUAGAGAGUGGCAUUAGGGGCAGAGCAGGGGUCUGCCCAGGUUACUGCAGCACCGGUCUGGGAGGCCCAGGUCUCCUGGUAGUGCCCCAGCUCAGGGCAGAAGGUGGUCCAGGGUGACUCCCAUAUGUUACCAGGAUCGUGGAGCUCCGGUUCACAGAAGGAGCAUUAGGUGUUCUCAGAGAGAUGGGGCUUAGCCUCCAGCUUUACCACAUGACUAAGUCAGUCUAUGUCUCAGUUUCCUCGUUUGUCAAGCAGAAGAUGGUUUCCAGUCUCUGGGUCUGCAAUGAGAGUAAUGGGGUCCCCAGCUUACAUUGAAAACAUUCAAUACCUAAGGGAAAUUGUAUUUUCGCAGUCCUCGGCUCACUCAGGAAUAUCCUCUGUCAGGCACUGUGCUAGACCGUGGAGAUACCAGGCGAAUUAAACAUGAGUCCUGUGUCAUGGGUUAUUAUGUCUGGAGGCAGUACAGCAUAGAACAUAGUGUUUAAGAGUGGGCUGGACAGCAGUUCAGCUUGGGAUCUGAUCCCUGUGUGACCUUGGGCAAGCCCUUUAACUAUUCUGUUCUCUGUUGCUGCUUCUGUAAUAUGGAAAUGACAAGAAUAGAGCCUGCCUCAUGGAGCUGUGUAAGGAUAACAUGGGUUAGUGCACAUAAAAUGCUUGGAACAAUGCCUGGCACAUAAUAGUAGUUCAAUUAACGCUCAUUAUCUUUAUCAUCACUAAUCUGUGAUUGACAAAAAUUACAAAACUACAGCUUGAUGGGCAAAAUCUCUCAAAGUGUAGAGGGACAAAGUGACAAAGUCUUUGGGAAGGUUAACCCCGUGGUAUUUAAGUUAACCCUCUUCUUUUGCAGUUACCUUUCAGAUCUCCCUCCUCUCCACCUCUUCCCAUGCCCCCACCACCAGCUUACAUUUUGACGUGAAACAUUCCAGAGUUUAUACAGCCCCACAGCAGCCUCAGGAUAACCUUCAGCAACAAAAGCACUUUUGAGUGUCCCCUGGUUCAUCAUUUGGAGGAUGGGGUGCAAUGAGAAGCACAUGAUUCUGCAUAUCCUGAUUCCAGCUCUGAUGAUAACUGCAGAGAAGGACCUUGUGCUUACUCCUGAGCUGUCCAAGCAUAUGGAAGACUGG